rnacentral:rRNA from 1 species
AGCAGUAGCCGCGGGAAUACGUAGGUGGCAAGCGUUGUCCGGAAUUAUUGGGCGUAAAGGGCUCGCAGGCGGUUUCUUAAGUCUGAUGUGAAAGCCCCCGGCUCAACCGGGGAGGGUCAUUGGAAACUGGGAAACUUGAGUGCAGAAGAGGAGAGUGGAAUUCCACGUGUAGCGGUGAAAUGCGUAGAGAUGUGGAGGAACACCAGUGGCGAAGGCGACUCUCUGGUCUGUAACUGACGCUGAGGAGCGAAAGCGUGGGGAGCGAACAGGAUUAGAUACCCAGUAGUCCCUGUCUCUUAUACA